rnacentral:rRNA from 1 species
UACGUAGGGAGCAAGCGUUGUCCGGAAUCAUUGGGCGUAAAGCGCGCGUAGGCGGCCACUUAAGUCGGAUGUGAAAGCCCCUGGCUCAACUGGGGAAGUGCACCCGAAACUGAAUGGCUUGAGUGCGAAAGAGGGUCGCGGAAUUCCCGGUGUAGAGGUGAAAUUCGUAGAUAUCGGGAGGAACACCGGUGGCGAAGGCGGCGACCUGGGUCGACACUGACGCUGAGGCGCGAAAGCGUGGGGAGCAAACAGG